rnacentral:rRNA from 1 species
UGGGGAAUAUUGGACAAUGGGGGCAACCCUGAUCCAGCGACGCCGCGUGUGUGAAGAAGGCCUGCGGGUUGUAAAGCACUUUUAGUGGGGAUGAAAAGCUCAGUUCUAAUACAGCUGGGUCUUGACCUAACCCAAAGAAAAAGCACCGGCUAACUCUGUGCCAGCAGCCGCGGUAAUACAGAGGGUGCAAGCGUUAAUCGGAAUUACUGGGCGUAAAGCGUGCGUAGUCGGUUAUUUAAGUCGGAUGUGAAAUCCCCGGGCUCAACCUGGGAAUUGCAUUCGAUACUGGAUAGCUAGAGUUCGGCAGAGGGAAGCGGAAUUUCGGGUGUAGCGGUGAAAUGCGUAGAUAUCCGAAGGAACAUCAGUGGCGAAAGCGGCUUCCUGGACCAGAACUGACGAUCAGGCACGAAAGCGUGGGGAGCAAACAGG